UUUAAUAGCAAAUUAUUACAUUUGGAGUAAAAAGAUCAAUUUAAAAAGUUUCCGCAAUUUUUGGGCUUAAUUGUGGUUGAAAUGAUCCAUGUGCAUGGCUAUCUAGGCUUUAGUCAUCCUUACUGCACAUCUUUUUAAUUCAAAAUCGUUUGAAUAUGUUGAACAUACAAUUUGCAUUCGGGUUCCUGCGUUAGCCAUAAGUUCUGGUCGUCAGCAGUUAACGUGGAGUAAGAUUUAAGGAGACCAAAGAUUUCCAAUGACUAUAGAUGCAUACGAUAAAACGAGUUUGUAAAUGAGUACAGUUGCCGAAAUCCUUAGCAAAGGUAUCCACCACCUAGCAAUAGCAACCAGUUUUUUAUGAAAUAUUUCGUAAUUCGAAAAUACCACCACUGAAGCUACGGGACGAAAACCAAGCCAGAUGUACACAAUCUCGUAACUGCGUAACAUAGAUCGAUAAGCAGUGCACAAAUCUGUAUGUUGCUAAAUUUACGAACUUUGAAAUCUACCGCCAGUUUCAUAAAACGAUAUUCAAGUCUUUGCCGGGUAAUACAACGAAUAAUUAUGAAAUGUCUUGUGAUCAGCUGGACAAAUACGGUGGAGCACUCUAACAGAAGGGACCAAAAUUAAUCAAGAUAACGUGAGAUCUCAUACAAGUUUGAUAACUUGCCAAAAGAUUUUUCGGCUUAAAUGGCACCUCCGGACUUUUCCUUAUUUGUUUUUUUUUUUUUUGCGGAUGGGAGUGUCUUCAUCUCACUUGGAACAGUUUUACGCCAGCAAGGAUCAACAAUUUCAUGAAACAAUCUCUUGUCGGAAAACUGGCAAAAUCUAUUCGAUCAAAAUGGGCAAUAAAUUAUUAAA